AUACGGAGGAUCCGAGCGUUAUCCGGAUUUAUUGGGUUUAAAGGGUGCGUAGGCGGGAGAAUAAGUCAGCGGUGAAAGUUUGCGGCUCAACCGUAAAAUUGCCGUUGAUACUGUUGGUCUUGAGUGUAGAUGAGGUGGGUGGAAUUCGUAGUGUAGCGGUGAAAUGCUUAGAUAUUACGAAGAACUCCAAUUGCGUAGGCAGCUCACUGGGCUACAACUGACGCUGAGGCACGAAGGUGCGGGGAUC
rnacentral:rRNA from 1 species